UCAUCACUGAAAUAAUACAAUUAAAACCCUGUAGUACCAAAAAAAAAAAAAUAUUUUUCCAUAAUAGAUAUCCUAUGGACAACUUUAACUAAAAUGAUUUAUCUUUAGGUAUUUACUUCAAAUGUAUAAAGGGGAGCGGUGGUCUAGUGGUUAAGGUGUCGGCCGCUCAAUCCAGGGGUCAUGGGUUCGAGCCCCACUGGGGUCACGACCAUGACUUCUCAUAUGACACCAGUACUGGUUUUUCCAGGAAGCGGACUCGAGAGUGGUUCCAAUAAGCUUGAAGCUUUCAUCACAAUCGAGCUAAAACAAAUUAGUAUAAACUAAAUGUAUAAAGUCGUCAUCAAAUAAACAAUAUGAAGUAAUUGUGCAUUUUUUUAAAUAUGAAAUUUAGAUUCAAUAUAGAUCUACCUUUAUCAAGCAAAAAUAAAAUGCAUGUGAACGCAUCUAUUGAAUGCAUCUGCAAACAAUAAAAUAAUUUCUCUAAAAAUGUUUGAUCUGGUCGGUCAGUGCCUUUAAUAUUAAAGAAUAAUCUAUUUAUUUACCUUGCUCUAGCUCCGAAGAACGAUGUCAUACAAUGAUUAUUUAUUGCAAUUUUAGCCCUCUCUUUCUCUAACUGAACCAAUUUUCUUUUUACAGAAGGCAUGUUCACUUAAACUAUGAAUUUAUGAUUUUUACCUUUUUGUUUUCAGCACCGUAAUCCAUUGUCUCUUUAAUAGCGUUACAAACACGGCAAUAUUUUGAUUCUGAUCAAUGUUUAAUUUUGUUAUCACCGAUCAAAGUCCUUUUAUUUGUAUUAAUUUAUACAAUUAGUCGUAAUCCCUUGAUCCCAAUUACAACUUUCAAUCAAAUCUCCGUACAUCAUUAUAACGCUGACAUAAUUUAAUCAUUACACAACAUGUGACCUGUAGUGUGUUCACGCUCCGUGACGUAAUUAUCGCCUAUGUAUACAACAGGCUGCUGAAUCGAUACGACACGCGCUUAGGUGAUUAUGCAAAUUUGAGGCUAAUGCGAAGUAACGGGGCGGAGCAUAGGACCGAUUUUAGGGCACUUUGACGGCAGUUGAAAAGGGCAGUAAAGGGGCGGAACAUAGGACCGAUUUUAGGGCAGCGUGGCGGCAGUUAAAAAGGGUGGGGCGGGGCGCCCCGCUGCGUCGCUCUAGAAAUAACACUAAGGU